GGCGGAAAGCUUCUUUUCUGGAGCCUAGUGGGGACCACGCCCCCGAUGCUGCGGCCGGUGCGCUGCUCCGCCGACGGUCUUUCGGGCAGGGACUGAGGCUGAGGCCUGGCUGCGGGGACGCGGACGCCACUUUGGGGUAAGAGUCGCUGCCGGGCCGCUCGCCCGUCCCAGGGAAGACUUGGGGGCACCUGCCGGCAGAGGCCGGAGACCGUGCCCGCCGCACGCGCCCAGUAACUGUCCAGGAAACGGAGCCCGGUUGGUGGCUGGGCCUACACCUAGUGGACGCCCAGGAGCAUUUGCCGGCUGAACCGGUGGGUCUCGCCACCGAAUGCAGGGGGCGAGCUCAGAGAGGCGGUUGAUGGCCCCCAACCCGGGCGGAGGUGAGACUUUGGGCGUCGCUGUGCUGGGACAUCGAGGGCACAGUACGUGCAAGUGUCCUGGAAUCUGCAUCUCAUCUCACUGCUCCUCUUCCAACCCGUCACGAGUGGCCUCUCGCCAAAAAAUAAAUACAGAAGUAAAAAUGUCUUCCCGAGGCUGUGCUGGAGGCUUCCCCGGCCAAAUAAUGACAGUCCCAUGUUCAAAGACAGGCAAGCCUGAGGCAGGUCUGGUGCGGAGACACGCAAAGAGACAGGGUGUCAGCCCUUUUAUCGGUGCUACUGUGUGAAGGAACUCUGGCUAGUCUGCUGGAUAGUGAGACCAUAUGCAGCAGAAACAAACGAUCCCAGCAAAGAUGAGACCGCUGGAAGAACCACCCAACUGAGCCCAGCUCAACUUGCAAAAAAAAAAAAAAAAAGGUGGUUGUUUUAAGCCAGAAAAACAUUUUAAGGUUAAGAUUCCUUAGAGUAUGUUUCUACAACACCUUAUAAUGCUCUGUAAUAUUCUCACACGUGGGUUUCUCAUGCUGGAUAAUAAAACUCUAGGAGCAUAGGG